rnacentral:rRNA from 1 species
UACGAAGGGUGCAAACGUUGCUCGGAAUCAUUGGGCGUAAAGCGCACGUAGGCGGCUCCACAAGUCGGAUGUGAAAUCCCUCGGCUCAACCGAGGACGUGCAUCCGAAACUGCGGAGCUUGAGUAUGGAAGAGGGUCGCGGAAUCCCCGGUGUAGAGGUGAAAUUCGUAGAUAUCGGGGGGAACACCGGUGGCGAAGGCGGCCCACUGGUCCGGUACUGACGCUGAGGUGCGAAAGCGUGGGGAGCAAACAGG